UACAGAGGAGCCAAGCGUUGUCCGGAUUGACUGGGCGUAAAGCGCACGCAGGCGGACGCGCGCGUGGGGUGUGAAAUCUGGCCGCUUAACGGCCAGGCGCCAUCCCAUACGGCGCGUCUGGAGCAAUGCAGAGGUCGGUGGAAUUGCCGGUGUAGUGGUGAAAUGCGUAGAGAUCGGGAGGAACACCAGUGGCGAAGGCGGCGAUCUGGGAACACACUGACGCUGAGGUGCGAAAGCGUGGGGAGCAAACAGG
rnacentral:rRNA from 1 species